UACGUAGGGUGCAAGCGUUAAUCGGAAUUACUGGGCGUAAAGCGUGCGCAGGCGGUUUUGUAAGUUUGUCGUGAAAUCCCCGGGCUCAACCUGGAAAUUGCGAUGAAGACUGCAAGGCUAGAAUCUGGCAGAGGGGGGUAGAAUUCCACGUGUAGCAGUGAAAUGCGUAGAGAUGUGGAGGAACACCGGUGGCGAAGGCGCCGACUCUGGGCCGAAACUG
rnacentral:rRNA from 1 species